CCCCAAUCCCCUUUCAUGUGUCUCUCAGCCCCAGCCCCUUUGUCUCUUUCCCAGGCCCCAGCACCUCUAUGUGUAUCUUUCCCCACAGCUCCUCUUUGUGUCUUUUGUUCGUCUUCCUCAGCUCCUCUGUGUGCAUCUCCUGUUCCCGUUUCCCAAUCCGUCUGUCUCUUUCCCACACACCUCCGUGUGUCUUUUUUACUCCCCAGCCCCUCCAUGUGUCUCAUUACCUCACAGCCC